rnacentral:rRNA from 1 species
ACCAGGCCUUGACAUACUCGGCAAAGCUCUAGAGAUAGAGUGGAGGUUAUCCGGGAUACAGGUGGUGCAUGGUUGUCGUCAGCUCGUGUCGUGAGAUGUUGGGUUAAGUCCCGCAACGAGCGCAACCCUUGUCUUUAGUUACCAUCAUUCAGUUGGGGCCUCUAGAGAGACUGCCGGUGAUAAACCGGAGGAAGGUGGGGAUGACGUCAAAUCAUCAUGCCCCUUAUGGCCUGGGCUACAAACGUAAUACAAUGGCGUAUACAAAGGGAUGCGAAAGGGCGACCUGGAGCAAAACUCACAAAGUACGUCUCAGUUCAGAUUGGAGUCUGCAACUCGACUCCAUGAAGGCGGAAUCGCUAGUAAUCGCGGAUCAGCAUGCCGCGGUGAAUACGUUCUCGGGGUUU